rnacentral:rRNA from 1 species
AACGGAAACGAUGGGAGCUUGCUCCCAGGCGUCGAGUGGCGGACGGGUGAGUAAUGCUUAGGAAUCUGCCCAUUAGUGGGGGACAACUCGGGGAAACUCGAGCUAAUACCGCAUACGCCCUACGGGGGAAAGCGGAGGACCUUUCGGGGCUUCGCGCUAAUGGAUGAGCCUAAGUCGGAUUAGCUUGUUGGUGAGGUAAAGGCUCACCAAGGCGACGAUCCGUAGCUGGUCUGAGAGGACGAUCAGCCACACUGGGACUGAGACACGGCCCAGACUCC